GUCUCGGUGGCGCAAUUGGUUAGCGCGUAUGACUGUUAAUCAUGAGGUUGAGAGUUCAAUCCUCUCCCGGGACG